rnacentral:rRNA from 1 species
AACGAACGCUGGCGGCAGGCUUAACACAUGCAAGUCGAGCGCUCCGCAAGGGAAGCGGCAGACGGGUGUGUAACGCGUGGGAAUCUACCCAUCUCUACGGAAUAACGCAUGGAAACGUGUGCUAAUACCGUAUACGUCCUUCGGGAGAAAGAUUUAUCGGAGAUGGAUGAGCCCGCGUUGGAUUAGCUAGUUGGUGGGGUAAGGCCUACCAAGGCGACGAUCCAUAGCUGGUCUGAGAGGAUGAUCAGCCCCACUGGGACUGAGACACGGCCCAGACUCCUCCGGGAGGCAGCAGUGGGGAAUGUUGGACAAUAGGCGCAAGCCUGAUCCAGCCAUGCCGCGUGAGUGAUGAAGGCCCUAGGGUUGUAAAGCUCUUUCACCGGUGAAGAUAAUGACGGUAACCGGAGAAGAAGCCCCGGCUAACUUCGUGCCAGCCGCCGCAGUAAGAC